CCCUAGUAACGGCGAGUGAAGCGGGAACAGCUCAAAUUUGAAAUCUGGCCCUUGGGUCCGAGUUGUAAUUUGCAGAGGAUGCUUUUGGUGCGGUGCCUUCCGAGUUCCCUGGAACGGGACGCCUUAGAGGGUGAGAGCCCCGUACGGUUGGCCACCAAGCCUGUGUAAAGCUCCUUCGACGAGUCGAGUAGUUUGGGAAUGCUGCUCAAAAUGGGAGGUAUAUUUCUUCUAAAGCUAAAUACUGGCCAGAGACCGAUAGCGCACAAGUAGAGUGAUCGAAAGAUGAAAAGCACUUUGAAAAGAGGGUUAAAUAGCACGUGAAAUUGUUGAAAGGGAAGGAUUUAUGACCAGACUUUUUCUGGGGGGAUCAUCCGGUGUUCUCACCGGUGCACUUCCCCCAGUGGAGGCCAGCAUCGGUUUCUGCCGGGGGACAAAAGCUUCGGGAAUGUGGCUCCUUCGGGAGUGUUAUAGCCCGUUGCAUAAUACCCUGGCGGGGACCGAGGUUCGCGCAUUGCAAGGAUGCUGGCGUAAUGGUUAUUAAUCACCCGUCUUGAAACACGGACCAAGGAGUCGAACAUUUGUGCGAGUGUUUGGGUGUUAAACCCUCACGCGUAAUGAAAGUGAACGGAGGUGAGAGCCCCUCGGGGUGCAUCAUCGACCGAUCCUGAUGUCUUCGGAUGGAUUUGAGUAAGAGCAUAACUGUUCGGACCCGAAAGAUGGUGAACUAUGCGUGGAUAGGGUGAAGCCAGAGGAAACUCUGGUGGAGGCUCGCAGCGGUUCUGACGUGCAAAUCGAUCGUCAAAUCUGCGCAUGGGGGCGAAAGACUAAUCGAACCAU
rnacentral:rRNA from 1 species